GCCAUACACCCUUUGACAACACAUAUACAAAAAUUGCAGCAAUACAGAGAAGGCUAGUAUGACUCCUGCCCAAGCAUAGCAUGCAAAUUAGUGAAGUGCUCUGUAUUUUA
ensembl:snRNA U6 U6 spliceosomal RNA